rnacentral:lncRNA from 1 species
AGGGAGGGCGCUGCCGUCGUGGGACCCGCGCGGCGGCUGGCGUCGCCCGUGUGUCGCGAAGCGCUCGGUCGCAGGCGGUCUCCCGGCAGCGCUCGCGUGUUGGCAUCCGCGUGUGGUUUGCUGUUCACCUCCAGGCGAGCAGAAAGGAUGAACUCUUCCAGUGGCCGUUCCCCCCAGCUCUCGGGGAUGAUUCAGCACAUCCAGAAAUGCAAGUGAUUUUACUUGCCUGGGAACACAGUAACAUCUGCUCCUCUGGGUUGCGUGCAAGAUGGAUUUCCUCACGGGAGAAAAGGGUGGUUUUUCUUUUUUCUUUUUUUUUGUUUUGUUUGUUUGUUUCUCAUAAGUGUUGCUUAGCUCCGAAAGACAGCUAUAAAAACGGUACGUUUGCCUCUGCGUAGGUUAUCGGCUAAGCAGUUCCAGCUCCGACCUGCCCAUCACGCCAGCAGAUGCAGGCGGCUGCAGCUGGCAGCGCGGCGGCCGCCGGCUCCACGGGUGGGCGGCCGUGACGUCCACGGCCGGCCGGGCUCGGCGCAGCGUUGACUGCUGCUCUGUGCCGGCGGCCUCGUUCCCCUGCUCAGUGGAGGCCUGACGCUUUUUUCAGACUUCUUCUACAUCUUUGCGGAGGGCAUUUAUAUAAAUGUCCCUCUUCAGGCAUCACACRACCCUUUAAUGAACUUGCACAGACCUUUGCGCGCAUGCAAGCUGUGACCGCGUGCAUUGGCUGUUUCCUGGCAUAUCCAUCUCUGUUCGACCUGGGGCAGUGCCCUGCGAUCCCUCUGCCUGCUCCGGUCUGAGGUAAUGCGUAACAGGCUGCUAGACCAUUUAAAAAUGAUCUGCUCUACCCAUUUGCAGCUCAGACAUGAAAACCGCUGAGAGUUGAAGGUCAAGCAGUGUAGGUUCCAGCUGGAAUGAGCAGGCUAACUUUAUAUAUAUAUAUAUAUAUAUAUAUAUAACUCUGAAAUAUGCAUUCAAAGGUUACGCCUGCAAUCGCCUAGGCACAGCUG